GUCAACCGCAGGUUAUUAUCGGAGUCUCCGGGUUAUUAAAGGCGACUCCAGAGUGCAUAAGAUUCUUGUUGUGUAAAGGUCAUCUCAGGAUGUUCAGGGUCUUGCUGCUCCUGUUGGCCGUGGCGGGUCUCCAUGCAAGACCACUGCACCGAUUCCCAAAUGGUAAAUUAAAACAAAUUGGGCCACAAAUGGUCCAAGAUGAACACAGGGAUAGCUCAGUUCUGAAGCACAUGAACACUGAUGUGAAACCCAAGAAGCAAUUACCAGUUCCCGCUGAGUUCUGCAGACAGGGAACAGAACCUUCCAGACGCUUCCUGAUGGACCUGAACACUGGGAUGCUCAAGCGUGGAGUUGGCGAAAUGAACAGAAGAGUUUCAGGAUCAGCUAAAUGGGAAGUGGUUUCUGAGCAUGAGGACACAAGAAGCCAAGACUCUUCUGAACAUAAGGAGAACCACAAAGCAGUUCCUGUUGAGAUCCGCAGGCAGGGAACAGAACCUUCCAGACGCAUCCUGAUUGACACGAACACUGGGAUGCCCAAGGAGGAACUCAGCGAAAUGAACAGAAGAGUUUCCGGCUUCUACAAUCCAGCACCUAUUGAGAAGAGGCAAGGAACAGAACCUUCCAGACGCUUCCUGAUGGACAUGGACACUGGGAUGCUCAAGCAUGAAGUUGGCGAAAUGAACAGAAGAGUUUCUGGCUUCUACAAUCCUCCAGCUUAUGAGAUGAGGAAGGGAACCCAGAAUUCUCAUGCCACUCUGGUGGAUUCCAGAACUGGACAACUGCUGCCAGCUCUAACAGAACUGCAGAGGAGCACAGAGCCAUUGGAUGAGUUCAGACAAGGCACUGAGUACCAGCCACACACCCUGCAGAAGCUCAGGAUGCAAGACUUUGUUAGACCCCAGCACAGUGCUUAGAACGUGUAUGAAAGUCACCGUGUUUAGAAUUGAUGAGACCUGGUGGACAACGUUUGGCUGUGUUCGUACCCUAUGACUGCAUGAAGACCAUCUCAGAACAUCUAGUUGACUUUACUGUUGUAUUAAGAGUUUCAUGCAAUAUUUGGAAUGACCUCACACGCAAUAUCUGCUAAAUAAAU
rnacentral:lncRNA from 1 species